ACAGUGACCGUAGACUCGACCGUAGACUCCCAAUCAGAUCGCGUAAUUCCCCAAAUGUGGGAAUCUCGACUGCAUAAUUUCUGGUAGUGGGGGACUGCGUUCGCGCUCACCCCUG
rnacentral:snRNA from 13 species